rnacentral:piRNA from 1 species
GCUCUGGAAGGAAGGACUCUGCC